UACGUAGGGUGCAAGCGUUGUCCGGAAUUAUUGGGCGUAAAGAGCUCGUAGGCGGUUUGUUGCGUCGGCUGUGAAAUCCCGAGGCUCAACCCCGGGUCUGCAGUCGAUACGAGCAAACUAGAGUGUUGCAGGGGAGACUGGAAUUCCUGGUGUAGCGGUGAAAUGCGCAGAUAUCAGGAGGAACACCGGUGGCGAAGGCGGGUCUCUGGGCAACAACUGACGCUGAGGAGCGAAAGUGUGGGGAGCGAACAGG
rnacentral:rRNA from 1 species